CUUUAGGAGGGUACCGGCCAAACGCGCCCAGGGGACUGGGAUGGGGUGGGAACGCGGCCGCCGCUGCCCCGAUGCGCGCCGUGGAGCCGUGUUUGCUGCGGGCUCAGGCGCCCCCCUGCCCGCACGCAAUCACGCCCACGUUGUCCAAAAACGGGCGUUUCUGUUGAAAAGCCACCGUUGGGGUGCCGGGUGUUGCGUUCCCGCAGGGGGUACGUUGUGGGUCAGCGGCACAGCACGCAGCUGUGGGUAACAGGGAAGGAAUUAAUAGCCUGCGCUUUAACAUCUCGGCGUGUUUUCAGUUGGCCUUUAUUAAACAAUGGGACAACUACUUCUUUUCAAAGUGUAUAUCAGCGCAUAAAUUAUUGUCUAAGUACCUGCUGGAGGAUUAGUAGGGUCCAAGAUCAAUGCUUUCGUAAUCUUAUGGGUAGCGCAGCAUCCCUGAGGUAGGAUUCAGAUGGAGUUUAUGACAGCUGAAAACUUCAAGUUACUUACAAGUGAUACUCCUUUUAGUCCUAAGUGCACAUCGGUGCCGAACACGAAUUGUAAACUGUGAAGUAACUACUAUGGAAAAGAUUAAGUAAAGCAUUGGAGGCGGAUGAUUUUGACAAUAAAGAGGGUGUAUGUGACAGUGAAUGCCUCAGGUGGUGGAUUGAGGGGAAAAAAAAAUUGUCAGCAGACCUACACACAACCUGUCAACAGCAGAAAGAGUGGAUUUGAGUCUCCUGCCAGAAAUCUGAAAAGGAUGCAGUUGUGGAGCAUCAGUACAAGUAUAGACACCAGAACAAAGGUUUUUCACUGUUUGAAAUUACUCCAGAUUUUAAAAUUAAAUACAACAAAAUAGAAAAAAAUAUCCUAAAUACUUCAAAAGACAUUGCACAAAUUUAUGUCUUAUCUAACCCUGAUAUGAGUGAGAAAGCACGAUCCCUUUCCUGAUAUCUGUUUGUCCAUCUAGCAUCUGAGCCCUGUUUUAAAAAUCGAGGUGUCCUUUACAUGCAUUUGAUGAAUUGUACUCAUGACAAAAACUUGGCACGGCUUAAAGAUAUUCCCGAUAUGUGAAGGUCACAACUAUUUAAAGAUAAAGCCACCAGUGCCCACAUGGAGGUGUAGUAAAUGUGCUAAGCUGCUGUAUAUUUUAUUUUCUGAAAUACUUGCCUACUCUGAUAAUUGCUUUCAGGACAUGAUAGUACUCAAGUUCUGUCUUGCCACUUGAAGGGCUGUGUUAUCAACUAGCCAGAAACCUGAAAACUUACAUAUCCUGCACAAAAUAAAGCAGAUGACAGUCAUUUUCAAUUAGAGCACAAAAGUGUGAAGUCUUAACACAGUUUUCUAUUUUUGCCGCUAAGAAAAUAUGAAUAUUACUGUAAAGUUGGGUGCCAUGCCGGGAGACCAAAAUUGCCUGCAGAAGGGGCAUAGCAAGGCGAUGUAACCCCUGUAACUAUUCCAUAUUCCUCUUCUGCUGUGCUUCAUACCAGACCUGUGGCUGAGAAAGUUUAAAUUCCCCAGUGUUACUUCAGCUCCACUGCUGACCCUGCCAUGCUUCUGUGCCUCUCACCUCCGUACGCAAGGCGUUUGGCUGAUGUCUGGCUGCCUGGUGGGUGGUUCAAGGAACAUCGGCACUGCUCUUGUGGGGUAUUUUAUGCCACGUAACUGUCUGCCGGUUAAGAGUUGUCCAUUCUCCAUGUCUAAAUCUCCUCAGGAGAUUUAGGGCACCAUGAGACCUGUAGUCAGUGGAGGUCAGGUCUCCAGGGAUCUGAGCUGAGAACGAUUGCAGAGUGCUUGUUAGAGCUUUGUUUUGCUCUGCCCGUGCUUUGCGCAUCCGUGUUUUAAGAAGUACAGUAGAAUUUAGAAGACAUUUAUUCACUGUCAAAUAUGGAGCUUCCAAAGUAGGUCAGUGGCCCAAUGAGAUGUUUAUAGGGGAAAACACUGCAAGACGAAGAACUUGUAUUAAAACAAACCAAACAUAUAUUUAUCACUGCUGUUUGAAUUCAGUGUUUUACUUUUAUCAUGCAUGCUGUUCCUAUUUCCAGUACCGUAAUCUAUCAUAAAAAUAAUGGUCUGUGCCUUUAUAAACUCCCCUGCUGCUCUCAUAGGGUUGUAGAAGUUGGCUAUCUACAUGAAAAUAAAAGCAAGUAUCUGC